rnacentral:rRNA from 1 species
GUAGGUGGCAAGCGUUGUCCGGAAUUAUUGGGCGUAAAGACGCGCGCAGGUGGUUCUUUAAGUCUGAUGUGAAAGCCCCCGGCUCAACCGGGGAGGGUCAUUGGAAACUGGGGAACUUGAGUGCAGGAGAGGAAAGUGGAAUUCCACGUGUAGCGGUGAAAUGCGUAGAUAUGUGGAGGAACACCAGUGGCGAAGGCGACUUUCUGGCCUGUAACUGACACUGAGGCGCGAAAGCGUGGGGAGCAAACAGGAUUAGAUACCCUGGUAGUCCACGCCGUAAACGAUGAGUGCUAAGUGUUGGGGGGUUUCCGCCCCUCAGUGCUGCAGCUAACGCAUUAAGCACUCCGCCUGGGGAGUACGGUCGCAAAGACUG